UACAGAGGGUGCGAGCGUUAAUCGGAAUUACUGGGCGUAAAGCGUGCGUAGGCGGCUAUGCAAGACAGAUGUGAAAUCCCCGGGCUCAACCUGGGAACUGCAUUUGUGACUGCAUGGCUAGAGUACGGUAGAGGGGGAUGGAAUUCCGCGUGUAGCAGUGAAAUGCGUAGAUAUGCGGAGGAACACCGAUGGCGAAGGCAAUCCCCUGGACCUGUACUGACGCUCAUGCACGAAAGCGUGGGGAGCAAACAGG
rnacentral:rRNA from 1 species